AUGGUAUAGAAUUUACUCAAAAGAAGGAAAUAUACAAUCUUAUGGUUAGAAUUUAUACUAUACAACAUUGAGCAAACUACCCUAACUAAAGGACUAUGAGUCCUGUGGCUACAGGGCAACUCUUUGUCGCUUUUUACAGAUCCAGACUAACACAGUUACCCCUCUGAUAAAGGACUAUGGGUUAUUCUGAUGUAAGUCUCUCUCAAUUUCUCUUGUUGAAGCUGUCCCAUUUUGUAUAUCUAAUUAAACAUUCAUUAACCCACAGACAGAAUGAGUGACUCUAUAAAUCGGUAGGUAGGACACUCACCUGAUAAGUGGGAAAUCCUGGUUCAAAUCCUCUCUCAUCAGGCAGAGGCAGGAUAACUGAACCAGGGUUUCCCCAUCCCACCUGAAAACCCUAACCACUGGGCUAAAGGUAUUAAAGGAGGUGAUCACUCCUCCAUUCAUUUUGUGUAGAAUUCAGCAUGCUCUGAGGUUGCUUAGAGGGCCCAAUCUAGUGAGCACAAUAGACAGGGCAACACCUGACUCAGUUUUUGAUCACACUGGGGCUUAGAUAGGGGCCUCUAUGUUCCUUUGCCUGGUUUGUUCCUUUCUUUUGUUGCAAAGGGUCACUAACCUCAUUGAUUUAGGAAGAGGCCUGGACUAAAGAAAGCUACAGAAACAGAAGACCAGAAUCACCACAAACACCAGGGGGCUAUCAGAAGAGGAUUUAGAAAAAUGUCAACUAAAGAUGAUAAAGGCAAAAUGAAAACUUUAGACUAGUUAAGAUUGACAAUAUAGAUGUAGUCAGUGUAUUUGCUUUGUAGGAGAGGCCCUGUCUGCUCUGUUGACACUAAAUAGUCCAAUGACUUUUCCUAAGAGAUGAGGCUUGUCACAAGUCUUCUUCCAACUUGUGUGCUAGCUGACUUCCAACCUGAGGUUGGUUCAUUCAGUGGUGGUGCAGGAGUUGAGACUUACUAGAAAAGGACAAGACAACAAUAAGAAAAUGGACAUUUUACAGUUUUUUCCACAGUCACUGAAAAAGAUACUUGAAAGAGCAUUUACACAAAAACCUUAGAAGGAAACAAUCAUCACAAGGAACUGACUGCUCCUCUCCUGGCUCUCUACUAGUGACUGUCUAAGGUCUUCCUCCGAAUGGCAACUGGAAACAGUCCAGAUGAACUGUGCUAUUCCCAUAGCAAGCAGCAAUUCCUAUCCCAUGUCUGUGAAGUAAUAAAAUGUGGAGAGAGACACCACCAUCCCUCCCCCCACUAUUAGACACACUAAAAGGGGAAGGAGGCACUACCACCCCCCCCCUGUGUGCCAUCUCCUCUGAAAUGAGCAAAGGGGGAGGGGGAAUUCUAACAGG